rnacentral:rRNA from 1 species
UACGGAGGGUGCAAACGUUGCUCGGAAUCAUUGGGCGUAAAGCGCACGUAGGCGGCCUGUUAAGUCGGGUGUGAAAGCCCUGGGCUCAACCCAGGAAGUGCACUCGAAACUGGCGGGCGUUGAAUAUGGAAGAGGGUCGCGGAAUUCCCGGUGUAGAGGUGAAAUUCGUAGAUAUCGGGAGGAACACCAGGUGGCGAAGGCG